GGCGAGGUAGCUCAGCAGGUAGAGCACGCGACUGAAAAUCGCGGGGCCGGCGGUUCGAUCCCGUCCCUCGCCA
rnacentral:tRNA from 1 species